UUGAAGAGUUUGAUCAUGGCUCAGAUUGAACGCUGGCGGCAGGCCUAACACAUGCAAGUCGAGCGGUAGCACAGAGAGCUUGCUCUCGGGUGACGAGCGGCGGACGGGUGAGUAAUGUCUGGGAAACUGCCUGAUGGAGGGGGAUAACUACUGGAAACGGUAGCUAAUACCGCAUAACGUCGCAAGACCAAAGUGGGGGACCUUCGGGCCUCAUGCCAUCAGAUGUGCCCAGAUGGGAUUAGCUAGUAGGUGGGGUAACGGCUCACCUAGGCGACGAUCCCUAGCUGGUCUGAGAGGAUGACCAGCCACACUGGAACUGAGACACGGUCCAGACUCCUACGGGAGGCAGCAGUGGGGAAUAUUGCACAAUGGGCGCAAGCCUGAUGCAGCCAUGCCGCGUGUGUGAAGAAGGCCUUCGGGUUGUAAAGCACUUUCAGCGGGGAGGAAGGCGGUGAGGUUAAUAACCUCAUCGAUUGACGUUACCCGCAGAAGAAGCACCGGCUAACUCCGUGCCAGCAGCCGCGGUAAUACGGAGGGUGCAAGCGUUAAUCGGAAUUACUGGGCGUAAAGCGCACGCAGGCGGUCUGUCAAGUCGGAUGUGAAAUCCCCGGGCUUAACCUGGGAACUGCAUUCGAAACUGGCAGGCUAGAGUCUUGUAGAGGGGGGUAGAAUUCCAGGUGUAGCGGUGAAAUGCGUAGAGAUCUGGAGGAAUACCGGUGGCGAAGGCGGCCCCCUGGACAAAGACUGACGCUCAGGUGCGAAAGCGUGGGGAGCAAACAGGAUUAGAUACCCUGGUAGUCCACGCCGUAAACGAUGUCGAUUUGGAGGUUGUGCCCUUGAGGCGUGGCUUCCGGAGCUAACGCGUUAAAUCGACCGCCUGGGGAGUACGGCCGCAAGGUUAAAACUCAAAUGAAUUGACGGGGGCCCGCACAAGCGGUGGAGCAUGUGGUUUAAUUCGAUGCAACGCGAAGAACCUUACCUGGUCUUGACAUCCACAGAACUUUCCAGAGAUGGAUUGGUGCCUUCGGGAACUGUGAGACAGGUGCUGCAUGGCUGUCGUCAGCUCGUGUUGUGAAAUGUUGGGUUAAGUCCCGCAACGAGCGCAACCCUUAUCCUUUGUUGCCAGCGGUCCGGCCGGGAACUCAAAGGAGACUGCCAGUGAUAAACUGGAGGAAGGUGGGGAUGACGUCAAGUCAUCAUGGCCCACGACCAGGCUACACGUGCUACAAUGGCAUAUACAAAGAGAAGCGACCUCGCGAGAGCAAGCGGACCUCAUAAAGUAUGUCGUAGUCCGGAUUGGAGUCUGCAACUCGACUCCAUGAAGUCGGAAUCGCUAGUAAUCGUAGAUCAGAAUGCUACGGUGAAUACGUUCCCGGGCCUUGUACACACCGCCCGUCACACCAUGGGAGUGGGUUGCAAAAGAAGUAGGUAGCUUAACCUUCGGGAGGGCGCUUACCACUUUGUGAUUCAUGACUGGGGUGAAGUCGUAACAAGGUAACCGUAGGGGAACCUGCGGUUGGAUCACCUCCUU
rnacentral:rRNA from 1 species